CGCGCAGGCGGUUUAACAAGCUUGAUGUGAAAUAUCCCGGCUUAACUGGGGAGACGCGUUGGGAACUGUUAGACUAGAGUUUAGGAGGGAAACUGGAAUUCCUGGUGUAGGGGUGAAAUCUGUAGAGAUCAGGAAGAACACCAAUGGCGAAGGCAAGUUUCUGGCCAUAGACUGACGCUGAGGCGCGAAAGCGUGGGGAGCGAAACA
rnacentral:rRNA from 1 species